ACCAAAGCCUGAUACAGAACAAGCCAGGAGAGCUCGUGCUGCAAGCAUGAAGCAUGCUACAGCCCACAGCAGAUCCUCCCCAGAUCAGAAAUGAAUCUCUAACAACGCAUAUGCUGGCUGACCUUGGCUUGCAAUGGCGAAGACCCCUAGGUUUGUCAGUGAACAUUGGGAAUACUUUUCAACUGAAGCUUCCAUUGGUCCCUCUCCUUUGUGGAAAAUGCAGACUUAACAGUAAAGUGAUUGCAGCAGUGAACCACCACACACAGAACUGUGAUGAGGUGAUGGAAGGCCGAUACAGAGGUGAGGACAGCAACCUGGGCCCAUAAGAAGUUCCUGCUGCCAACCGUCCCUGAGUCUUUGCUGCACUGUCUUCUCCUGUCUGUCUGUCUGUCCUGAAACUGAGUGGGUUCUGUAAGCAAUAAGUUCCUUUAGUUCCUUUCUCUUAAACUCAUUCAAGUUCAGUCUGUAUCACACACAGUCUAACUAAUAGAGUUGUCCAAGAUUUUGCCUUUUUUUUUUAAUGUGCCUGGUCCCCCAUCACAGACUGUUCUCUUCUGAAAUGCAGAAGACAUGUAGUACCUCCAGUUACUGUUUGAAUGAGAAAUGCCCUUCAAGGCUCUUGCUUUUGAGCACUUGGUGACCAGCUAGUGCCAUUAUUGCGAGAGACAGAGCUUCACUGGAGGCAGUAGAGAGUCACUGAAGGUGGUCCAUUUUCUGUUCAUACACUGCUUCCUGGGAAUGGGUACAAAGUGACCAGCUGCCUCUUGCACCUGCCAACAUGUCUUCCCUGAUGUAUCAAUUACUUUCUUUGUGUCUAUGGCAACUGUCUUAGUCACUGUUCUAGUUCUGUGAACAGGUACCAUGACCAAGGCAACUCUUCUAAAAGAGGUAUUUAGCUGGGGACUGGCUUACAGUUUCAUGGGGUUUUUCCUUUAGCUUCUUGGUGGGAAGCACACAGGCAUGUCACUUGAGCAAUAGCCAAGAGCUUUACAUCCUGAUUCAAAGGCAGCAGGCAGAGAGAGAGAAAGAGGAGAGAGAGAGAGAGAGAGAGAGAGAGAGAGAGAGAGAGAGAGAGAGAGCGAGCGCACAGGAUUCCUGGAAGCAUUUGAAACCUCAAAGCCGACUCCCAGUGACACUCCUCCUCCAACAAGGCCACACCUCCUACUCCUUCCCAAACAUUUCUAGUAACUAGCAACCAAGCAUAUGCGCCUAUGAGGGCCACUCUCCCCCAAACCACCACAGCACAAACCGUGGCACCAACUGUUUACCACAUGAAUAAGAGAACGAGCAGGUACCUGAGCUGAGUAACUAUACCACAAAACAAUGAGCCCAGACUUGAAGCCUGUGGUCAAUAUUUUUAAUCUAACCAAAAUCAUAGAAUUGCCACUGUUUUAGGUCCUAAGAUAACGAAUUUACAUAAGUAACCAGAAAAGAAAGAUGAAGUAGAAAAGAUACCCAGAUAUACACAUAAAUAUAAUUAGCCAUAAAAAUUGCUGCUUAUCUUGCUUGUGACUUGUUCAAUAACAAUUUAUAUUUAUUAAGACAAAAGUCAACACCUUCCUGAGCUUACUACAAUUUCAAACUUGGGAUCAUUAUGAAAAAAAAGCUUACUCUAAUUAAAAACUUUUGUUUUAUUUUCUGUUUCUAUAAGAGUGUGUUCUUAAUAAUGUUUCCAUCCAUUUCACUUGGGCUUUCAAAGGCAUAUUAGUAAUGUCACAAAAAGCGUUAAAAUAUGAUAAAGGUGUCCUUGUAAAGACAGUUCAUAAAACCAAUGUUUUAAAAUAAGACUCAUAAAAUGUUUCUUACACAGGAUAGAUUUUUAAAGAGAUUGAGAUAUGCUUGAAUUGGGAUAGCAUAGUUAAUUUAUAGACCCCACUUCCCCACACAUACACUCCAGGCCAGAAAAAAAGAAAAAAAAAGAAAAACCUGCUAGGUUCAUACAUGCCACUGUCUGGCUAAGGGGCUAAGCUUCCCACAGUGGAUAGCUCAUCUAAUCAAUUUCUUUUUUCACCCCUCAACUCAGUUCUGGCUGAGAGGAAAAUGGGUCUUAGACCUCAGAACUUCCCAGGACAAAGUACUCUGAGGGACCAACUUGGCCUUCUGCUCUUCUUGAAGUGAUCAUACAUUCCAGAUUUCUAAACCCAGCCCACACCAGAUGGAUUUUUCCAGUUUUCUUGGGUCUAAACUUGAAGGCUAGAGGAAAUACCGUGAGCAGCCCCAGGGCUGGGAUGUGGGAAGGCUCUCUGGGGCUUACAAACAACCACGUUGUGUCCAAUCAGCUCAAUUUAGCUGGCAAGAGGCUUGCUCUGCAGCUGUGGGGAGGUGCACAGCCGGCCCCUCGGCUACCGUAGCUAUUGGCCAACUGUUCUCUCCCAAACAGCACUCACCACAAUCAACAGUGUUUACGCCUCAAGGUCCUCCUUGAAUGCUGUUAAUGAUACAUCCUGAAGACCUCUGGGAAGAGAUCUGUGCCAACUCUGGAACCUGGUGAACAUUCAAUCCGGUGUCGUGAUGUCUUGAUUUCUACAUUAAGUUCCUCGUGGUGCAUUUCAAGUCUUUUUCCAUGUUGUCUCCUGUGAGAAUGAAAAAAAUCAGUCUCCCCUUUUCCCUGAGAUGCUGUACUCCUUGUGCUUGGAGACAACUGCUCCACUUAAUAAUUUCAAGAUCUUGUACGGUCGUGGCCGUCCAUGUGAGUCUCCUUAGGGUCACUCCCAAUGUUUCUUUGUCUACUGUUAAGUUCAAAGCUGGAUAAAUAACAACUGUGCACACACACUUCAUGGAAUCACUUCAACAGCAUUGGAAGUUGAACAGUGAGGACAUUCCCAUAGUGCUUUUCCUGGAGCCAAGGUCACCAUCCUUUCAGAAAGGGGUGUGACUUACUCUGCCUUCAUUUCCUGCCAGGGCCUCCUUUUCCCCACACAGAAGCAUGGAAAUACAUCAAGCCAACACACUUCCGGGUUGGUUUGUUUGUUUCUUGUUUCCAUUCAAAUUUACAAGCCUGAACCCAGGGUCAUAGACUAUAGAUGAUUUUUGUGAUUGUUCUAUUUGGGUCGCUAAAGUAACAAUACUUUUCAGAACUAUAUAUUUUUAAAACAUAAACGUAUAAUAAUCUUUACAUUGCCCUUGUAACUUUUAAGCCCUGUCAUGUUGAGGAAGUAAUCUUACCUGUCUGAAACUUUGGAAUUAGACUCAUUAACACAUCAAAAAUUCUUCUCGUUCUUCAAAGUCCUGGAAUUAACAUUUCUUUGCAUACAAGUUGUCCAGUCAUGAGAUAUUAAAUGAAACUUGUAUUUUAUUGCUAUGUAUUUGAGAUUCUUCAAAUCACUCUACUAAGAUACUACUUACUGUAGCAAUUUUCUAACUUAGGCUCCACACAAGGCAACAUGGCAGUGUUUCUCUGUAGAGAUUCCCACAGUGCCCUGAAGCUUCUAAUUUUCUUGACAGGAGAUUUUAAGUACUGAAGUGACCAAAACAGACUACUCUCAACUGGUACGAUUACUUGAUUUCCUCCAAAACUGAAAAUCAAGAAUCCCCUAAUGUUGAGCAUAACUUAUCAGCUUCGUGGUUCCAGGAAUAUUUAGAUUUUAACUUAUUAUCACCACAAUGUACUUUUCAGACAGGUGGUGUUUCUGUGUUGAUCUUUGAGAAGACAAUACAGGUUAAUUCUUUUUCUUUCCUUUCUUACUUGUUUUUGUGAACUUAGAGGCAAGUUUUAACUUCUUAGAAAGCUUGAACAGUAAGACAGUUAGGUUAGGCUUCUUUCUCUUUCAUGUAUACUAGUUUGGGGCAGGGGAGAACCCUUCCUCACGUACACCAGCUUAGAAGCUGGAGGCCCCUUCCUGCAACUGAACUUGACUGCUUUUAACGUUUGCCUUCUUCUGAAGCUCAUGUCUCAUACUCCUUCAUGCUGAACUUGCACUCUGUGCAGUGAACUGACAUUCCACAAUUAUCUUGGGAGCCUGAGAUAGUUUCCAACUGGUGAAUCAUCCAGUCUAAAGGACACUCUGACUGUGAGAAAAAGUUAGAACUGUCACUCAAGUCAACAGACUUGGGAAAGUCAGGAAAUGAAGAAAGAGGGCUAACAAGGGAACAGCUGGACUUACCUGAAGAGGAUUGGCAGCAGAGUUGAGCUUAUACAUAUUCAUAUACAUAUACAUAUACAUAUACAUAUACAUAUACAUAUACAUACACAUACACAUACACAUACACACACAGUGCUUUAAUAAACUUUACACUGACCAAGAAAAAAAGUACUUUAUGCAUGCAAAUGACACAUAUGGUAUUUUCUGCAUACAGUUUUCUACUUUAUGUAGAAGAUGCUUUCAAUUUAGGGUUAAAUUCCACCACAAGUGAGAAUCUUUCCCAGGUAAAGUACAUUUCACGAGUGGAACGGUGCUCCAUGCUUGGUUAAGAUCACUCACUGCUCCUGCAAAGGACCCAGAUUCAGUUCCCAGCACCCAUGUGGGGCAGCUCUCAACCACCUCUAGUUCCAGUGCCAGGGGAUCUGAUUGCCUCUCCUGCCUCCACAGGUACCUCUACACGCAUAAACAUAAACAAAUAAUAAAAUAAAAGUUUAAAAGACAGAAUAUUUUAAAAGCUAAAUAUACUAUGUUCUUGGUUUAACAGCACGAUAUGAAGGAAUAAAGUUGAUUUGGGCCUUCGUGAAUGUUUUACUGACAUUUCAUCAUGAACAAGUAUGUCUUUUUUGUCUUUUCAGAAAGAUUCGUUUUCUCCUCUAUUUUUUAAACUGGGAAUUUUUUUCACAACAUGAGAGGCGCAUGCAUGUUGGGAUAUUAGAGUCCAUGUACAGAAGCCAUACACACUCAUGAACAGCAGUCGCAUCCAGGUGUCAGAUGUCUCAGGUAUAGACAACUCUAGCCGACAAAGCAGACUCUCUGCAAGUGUGAGAACUUGAGACUUCCAGAGCCUGAGUUCUGUGCAAAUGUCCUCUUCCUCCUCCGUGGGCUCUUUUGCUAGACAAUUGACUCAAAGCACUUUCUCAUCUAUGGCCGUGUCUUUUGACAAAGGGGGCUUACUUUCUUUCCCUGAUUGCAUGACUGUUAUCUCACAUGACAGACUUCUGUUUUUAACAAGUUUACCUCCGAAGUUGGAACGCCAUCCGCUCAGCUGUGAUUCUCCUCUCAUUUCCCGCGGGAAACUUUCCUGCUUUUAUAUGGAUAUCAUAUUCUCUUGGUUACUCGCCAUAUCUUUGCAAAUCUUGAUGUCAGAAAUAUAAACAAUUCAUGUUUAUUCUGCAUCAAGGCUGCCCUUUCUAUUCCUUGCCUUUUACAUUUUUGUGUGGAUCUUAUAAAGAUAUUACCAACUGGUCCUAAAACAGGCCAGACCUUCACUGUAACACUGACUUUAUAA